UACGGGGGGAGCAAGCGUUGUUCGGAUUUACUGGGCGUAAAGGGCGCGUAGGCGGUCAGCACAAGUCAGUUGUGAAAUCUCCGGGCUUAACUCGGAAAGGUCAACUGAUACUGUGCGACUAGAGUGCAGAAGGGGCAACUGGAAUUCUCGGUGUAGCGGUGAAAUGCGUAGAUAUCGAGAGGAACACCUGCGGCGGAAGGCGGGUUGCUGGGCUGACACUGACGCUGAGGCGCGAAAGCCAGGGGAGCGAACGGG
rnacentral:rRNA from 1 species